GGGUUGGGCUGUUCGCCCAUUAAAGCGGUACGCGAGCUGGGUUUAGAACGUCGUGAGACAGUUCGGUCCCUAUCCGCCGCGCGCGUAGGAGACUUGAGGAAGGCUGUCCCUAGUACGAGAGGACCGGGACGGACGAACCUCUGGUGUGCCAGUUGUACCGCCAGGUGCAUGGCUGGUUGGCUAUGUUCGGAAGGGAUAACCGCUGAAGGCAUCUAAGCGGGAAGCUCGUUCCAAGAUGAGGUCUCCCACCACCUUGCGUGGUUAAGGCUCCCAGUAGACGACUGGGUUGAUAGGCCAGAGAUGGAAGCCCUGUGAGGGGUGGAGUUGACUGGUACUAAUAGGCCGAGGGCUUGCCACA
rnacentral:rRNA from 1 species